AUCAGAUCUAUGACUACUACUACUAGUACCAUCAUCACUCUCCCUGAUCUUCGAAUCUUAGCCAGAUAGCUCUUGUACUCUCAUGAGUGGUGCACGUGCAAUUGUCUUUUCUUUUCCUCCUUUUGUGCCUCUUUGUGACUGAGUUUCCUGUGAUUGGAAGGAUGGAUGUCUUGCUAACCAACAUCGUCUAAAUAUUUUUCGCUCAAAUCUCUGUGAGAAUAUAUCGGAUAUCGAGUCAUGUGAUGAAUGAGUCCUCUAUAUCCCCUUAGAUUGUGGUUGAUCAGCUGGAAUCUUAUGUGAAAUAUUUUUUUCUGUCCAUUGCCCUGGAUCUACCCUGAUCUCCCUAGCUACCACACUGGUUGGUGG
rnacentral:lncRNA from 1 species